rnacentral:rRNA from 1 species
CACGUAGGGCGCAAGCGUUGUCCGGAAUUAUUGGGCGUAAAGAGCUCGUUGGCGGUCUGUUGCGUCCGCUGUGAAAACUCGGGGCUUAACCCCGAGCCUGCAGUGGAUACGGGCGGACUAGAGGUAGGUAGGGGAGAAUGGAAUUCCCGGUGUAGCGGUGAAAUGCGCAGAUAUCGGGAGGAACACCGGUGGCGAAGGCGGUUCUCUGGGCCUUACCUGACGCUGAGGAGCGAAAGCGUGGGGAGCGAACAGG